AAAUUGAAGAGUUUGAUCAUGGCUCAGAUUGAACGCUGGCGGCAGGCCUAACACAUGCAAGUCGAACGGUAACAGGAAACAGCUUGCUGUUUCGCUGACGAGUGGCGGACGGGUGAGUAAUAUCUGGGAAACUGCCUGAUGGAGGGGGAUAACUACUGGAAACGGUAGCUAAUACCGCAUAACGUCGCAAGACCAAAGAGGGGGACCUUAGGGCCUCUUGCCAUCGGAUGUGCCCAGAUGGGAUUAGCUAGUAGGUGGGGUAAAGGCUCACCUAGGCGACGAUCCCUAGCUGGUCUGAGAGGAUGACCAGCCACACUGGAACUGAGACACGGUCCAGACUCCUACGGGAGGCAGCAGUGGGGAAUAUUGCACAAUGGGCGCAAGCCUGAUGCAGCCAUGCCGCGUGUAUGAAG
rnacentral:rRNA from 1 species